CCCAACUAUCCCUAUUAAUCAUUACGAUGGUCCUAGAAACCAACAAAAUAGAAUCAUCGUCCUAUUCUAUUAUUCCAUGCUAAUGUAUUCCGGCAUAAGCCUGCUUUAAACACUCUAAUUUUUUCAAGGUAAAGGUCCUGGCUGCUCGCAACACUCAAUUAAGAACAUUACGCAUCACCAGGCGGUGAGGCCCAACCGACCAGUACUCGUUACAAGAACGGACCAAUCGGCCAAACCCAAAAUUCAACUACGAGCUUUUUAACUGCAACAACUUUAAUAUACGCUAUUGGAGCUGGAAUUACCGCGGCUGCUGGCACCAGACUUGCCCUCCAA
rnacentral:misc_RNA from 1 species